rnacentral:rRNA from 1 species
GACGAACGCUGGAGGCGUGCUUAACACAUGCAAGUCGAACGAUGAAAUGGAGCUUGCUCCAUGGAUUAGUGGCGAACGGGUGAGUAACACGUGAAUAACCUGCCCUUAAUUUUGGAAUAACCCAGGGAAACCUGGGCUAAUACCGGAUAAGUAAACCUGUGGCAUCACAUGGUUUUGGAAAGUUUUUCGAUUAAGGAUGGAUUCGCGGCCUAUCAGCUUGUUGGUGAGGUAAUGGCUCACCAAGGCGACGACGGGUAGCCGGCCUGGGAGGGGGAACGGCCACACUGGGACUGAGACACGGCCCAGACUCCUACGGGAGGCAGCAGUGGGGAAUAUUACGCAAUGGACGAAAGUCUGACGCAGCGACGCCUCGUGAGGGACGAAGGUCUUCGGAUUGUAAACCUCUUUCAGCAGGGACGAAGCGAAAGUGACGGUACCUGCAGAAGAAGCACCGGCUAACUAUGUGCCAGCCGCCGCAGUAA